rnacentral:rRNA from 1 species
UACGUAGGUGGCAAGCGUUGUCCGGAUUUAUUGGGUUUAAAGGGUGCGUAGGCGGCAUUUUAAGUCAGUGGUGAAAUCCCCGAGCUUAACUUGGGAACUGCCGUUGAUACUAUCUGUCUUGAAUACCGUUGAGGUGAGCGGAAUAUGUCAUGUAGCGGUGAAAUGCUUAGAUAUGACAUAGAACACCAAUUGCGAAGGCAGCUCGCUAAACGAAUAUUGACUCUGAGGCACGAAAGCGUGGGGAUCAAACAGG